rnacentral:rRNA from 1 species
UACAGAGGGGGCAAGCGUUGUUCGGAAUGCUUGGGCGUAACGCGUCCGCAGGUGGCUGUGUAAGUCUGCUGUCAAAGAGCAAAGCUCAACUUUGUAAAGGCAGUGGAAACUACACGGCUAGAGUGCGUUCGGGGCAGAGGGAAUUCCUGGUGUAGCGGUGAAAUGCGCAGAUAUCAGGAGGAACACCGGUGGCGAAGGCGGGUCUCUGGGCCGAAAUUGACGCUGAGGAGCGAAAGCGUGGGGAGCAAACAGG